UGCAAGGCUUUGCAAUUCUCCUUAUGCGUCUUCCUGAAGCAAGGAAGACUUUUCUGAUCCUGCAACAGUGGCUUCGCUCAUAACCUUCAGCCCUACAUCCGAUUACAUUAUUGAGAAUUAUCCUUUCUUGGUCAAGCAACCCAGUCCCUGUGCAGCUGCCCCAAACUCCUGCAGUUUCUGUGGUUGCUCUUUUCCAAGAGCAUCCCGUGACUUCCCCAUUGAAGACAUCUCCUCCAAUUCCUAAUGUAAGGCACAAAUCUUUACCUUCAGACUUGAGUGACAACACUGGGCUAAAAGGUGAAGAAGGCUGUGAGUUUGGACUACUUAAUGGCAGGUGAGAAGGACCCUCCAGGAAUACAGCACCCAAUCUCCCAAAUCAUUGACAGAUUUUCAGCCUCAUCCUUCUCUAGAGCUACAUUUGCAGAGUCCCAGAGCCCCAGUAGCAACUUUUGUACAACACCAGCCCUUCAACAGGUGGAUUUGCUGGAUCUUCUGGAUGUGGAGAAACAGAAAGGAGGAAAGUCAUAAAACCAAUCAGAGGAUGUUGUCCUUGAUGUGUGCCAUAAAAGAGAGGCAGAAGGGUGUGUAGACAGAGCAACAAGCACUUAUCAUGGUUUUCCAGGAUAUCCAUAAAGAGACAGCUAGCAUUGAUCAGUCCAUCCACAAAUACGUACCCCAGUUUGCUGAGGCUAAAGCAGAACUGAAAUGGAGACAUGUUUACAGAUCUGCUGGAGGACCACAACCUACUACUGCUACCAGCUAAUGAAGGACCUCCUCAAGUAGUAGAGGUCUGUGGAGGUCCUGCAUUCAAACCCUGUUGGAGGUUUGUUCCAUGAACAGGAAAAACUGAGUGAUCGCCAUUAUAAACUAAAGCAUUGUAUUUAAAUGUGUCUUAUUUGGAAUGAUUUCUACCUUUGUAUUUAUUUGUUUCUAUAUGCUAUGUGCUAGCUAUGAUGUUGAUCCUGCAAGAGUCAACAAACCAUCCAGACGAGAAAUAUUUCCUCAGUGAUGCACACUGAGCUUUAUUCUGCCUCCUUGGCAUAUCUAAUACUCCCAUGAUAUACAAGGGGAUUUUUGAGUAUAAUAGACUAGUAGGUUUAGGCCCAUAAUGUCCUGAAAUGACAACAUGAAAAAUUAAGAGUGAACUUUGUCCUACUGAUUUGUUUCAGAAACAGAAGCAAAAUACAAACAUGAUAUAACCAAACUGCCAUAUGAGUAUAAGUUGCUAUGGACGUAGGCAGUGAAGAAAUGUCUUUACAUUAAAAAGUAAUAAACUCAUUGCAAACACAGCUAAUCAAUCAUUCUCUUGGCACGAAUAAGGUUUGAGGAGAAGGAAGAUGGUUCAAAUUGCAAUUCAGUAAUGAUGCUACAAAGCCAAAGGGUAAAAUAAUUUAAUGUAAGUUA